CGAGAAAGUCCUUUCGGGGAUGAGUAAAGUGGCAGACGGGUGAGUAACACGUAAGGAACCUACCUUUGACUCUGGAAUAACAGGGCGAAAGUCUUGCUAAUACCGGAUACGAUCAUGUGGCAUAUGCCAUGUGAGGAAAGAAAGCCUCUGCUUGCAAGCUAUCGGUCGAAGAGGGCCUUGCGGCCUAUUAGCUAGUUGGUGAGGUAACGGCCCACCAAGGCGACAAUGGGUAGCCGACCUGAGAGGGUGAACGGCCACACUGGAACUGAGACACGGUCCAGACUCCUACGGGAGGCAGCAGUGGGGAAUCUUGCGCAAUGGGGGCAACCCUGACGCAGCAACGCCGUGUGGGUGAUGAAGGUUUUCGGGUUGUAAAACCCUGUCAAGGGGGAAGAAGGGCAUGGGAUUUAACAGACCUCAUGUUUGACGGUACCCUUAGAGGAAGCCCCGGCUAACUCCGUGCCAGCAGCCGCGGUAAUACGGAGGGGGCAAGCGUUGUUCGGAAUCACUGGGCGUAAAGCGCACGUAGGCGGUCAUGUAAGUCGAGUGUGAAAUCCCUCAGCUUAACUGAGGAACUGCGUUUGAAACUGCAUGACUAGAGUACAGGAGAGGAGAGUGGAAUUCCCAAUGUAGCGGUGGAAUGCGUAGAUAUUGGGAGGAACACCGGUGGCGAAGGCGUCUCUCUGGACUGAUACUGACGCUGAGGUGCGAAAGCUAGGGGAGCAAACGGGAUUAGAUACCCCGGUAGUCCUAGCCGUAAACGAUGGGCACUAGGUGUGGGAGGCCAUUGGUCCCUUCCGUGCCGUAGCAAACGCAUUAAGUGCCCCGCCUGUGGAGUACGUUCGCAAGAAUGAAACUCAAAGGAAUUGACGGGGACCCGCACAAGCGGUGGAGCACGUGGUUCAAUUCGACGCAACGCGAAGAACCUUACCGGGGUUUGAAAUCAACAUGACAACACCAGAAAAGGUGCUUCCCUUCGGGGACAUGUUGACAGGUGCUGCAUGGCUGUCGUCAGCUCGUGUCGUGAGAUGUUGGGUUAAGUCCCGCAACGAGCGCAACCCCUGCCCUUAUUUGCCAUCAGGUUAUGCUGGGAACUAUAAGGGGACUGCCGGUUUUAAGCCGGAGGAAGGUGGGGAUGACGUCAAGUCCUCAUGGCCUUAAUGUCCCGGGCUACACACAUGCUACAAUGGCCUGUACAAAGAGUUGCGAUACCGCGAGGUGGAGCCAAUCUCAAAAAGCAGGUCUAAGUUCAGAUUGGAGUCUGCAACCCGACUCCAUGAAGCCGGAAUCGCUAGUAAUCGUGGAUCAGCACGCCACGGUGAAUACGUUCCCGGGUCUUGUACACACCGCCCGUCACACCACGAAAGCUUAUUGUACUAGAAGUCGUCGAGCUAACCCGCAAGGGAGGCAGACGCCCACGGUAUGGUCAGUGAUUGGGGUGAAGUCGUAACAAGGUA
rnacentral:rRNA from 1 species